ensembl:lncRNA
GAGCCUCUCUGCUUCCAGGGGCUGACAACGUGAUGAAGUGCUGCUAAUGAGCCUCUUUUGCUUGUUUAUUUUAACAGCCAGAAAAAAUUACAUUAGUGCUCUGCGGUGAGCGGGCGGUGUGGAUUUCCUCGGGGAAUCCCUCCGGAGUGUUCGGAACAAGCAGCGGAGCUCCUCGCCUAAUUGGGAGCGGACUAAUUUGCUGUCUUUUCCAGCUGAGCUUCUGGGUCCCUCAGAGUCCGGAGACCCGCUGACCGCUGUUCAGUUAAGAAAUCCCCAUGUCUGGGAUGUGGCACAGCUGCCCAGUGAGGUGGUGGGGUCACUGCCCCUGGAGAUGGUCCUGGAGAGCCAUGGAGAUGUGGCACUGAGGAGCAUGAGAUCUUAAAGGGAGGAACACGCACCAAGAGGAAGGGAACGAGGAGGGACGUGCGGCGCUCACGAGGCGAGGAGUUAGGCUCAAGGUCAGCAAAUCAAUCACCAGCCAGGAGACAGAGCAGAAAUUGGACAAGGCAGAGUCUCUCUGACACGCCGAUCAUAAGCACAGCCCUUUGGCACGGCUCCAGCGGCACCAAUAAAGGGUUUCAUUCCCCGCUGCACCCUGCAUGUUUCUCC